UUGUGAUGUCAGAGUUCAGUGAUGUUGGCGUAAUCUUUGUUCUCAAUCACCUUGAAAGUUUGUGGUUGAAGUGUUCCAGUGUUUUCACAGCAUGCUGGAACUGAAAAGAUCCUUGCCCCAACUCUUCCCACAAAGUUGCAAAACAGAACUGCACACAAUCUUAGGGGACUUACUCAACAACUGAUUAUUUAUUUCAUUUUCAUUUCUCCAUUGCAGUGUACCACAGAAAACACACACAAUGAACAUUCCAGUUCAGAUGAAAAGGUGGCAUUCUGAGAGGACGGUUAUUACCACUGCUGCAUCCAGCCAUCUCAAAGUGCACCAGAUGUGCUCGCUUGUGCAAUUAUUCCAGCAAAGACACUGGCUCAGAUGUUUUGUGUGUGUGUGUUAACAGCCUUGUUGGAGCAGUAAAUGUCUUCCAUUUGAGCUUCUGGCUGACCUUCUAGCGCUCUGGCCUUUCCCCCUUUUCCCACCUUCACCAGCAAGGCAACUGUGGAAUUGUGUGUUUAAAGCUUUGCCACCUCUGCCAUCUCUCAGCGUGCCUCUCCUUCGAGGGAAACCUUUGGCUAACAUUGCAUGUGUCUCUUCCGGGUUCCACUUCCUUCAACUUGGGCAGUUUUGUUUGGACAUGUUACAGCAAUAAUUUGCAUAGGUCUGGUAUUUACUCGCAAGCCUGCAUUGUUUUUCAAAUGUGUGAUUGUGCUGAUGUAAUGUGCUGAUGUAUGUAACAAUGUGUGUCAUAAUAGUCCAAAGUGCAGGUGAAAGAUGUAAGAGCAUGUACUCUUCCUCUACCCACUAACGUUCUUUUACUUGUGCUGAUGGCCCGAACAGGAAGUUGACUUCAGCUUGUACCCUUUAAAAACGAUACAUCUUGUACUUCCUUCAUGCAUUUAUAACAGGUCAAUAAUUUUCUAAAUAUAAGUCUCUACCCAGUGGUUGUGAUGUCACUUGAUGUUUAAAAAAAAAAGAGCAUAAUGGACUAAACUAGAAGAAAAGUUACUAUUUUUAAAGAUUUGUUUUUCCUGUGUAAAAGAUGUAUUCACGAGAGGUUUUUGAAGUAGGUUUUGCAGUUGAUAACAUGGUUAAGCAUUGAACAUGGUGCAGACUGCACAAGACAGGUGCCCAGGAAUUUUCUGUGCUGAAUAAAGGACAAUAUUCUGUUGAUUGUCUUGUUUAGAUACCUGAAGAAUUUCAUCGGAUCACGGGGACUUUCAAUGCAUCCCUUGACAAAUUCGUGCUUGGCCUGCUGAAACUGUACAGGUCUCUUGGUGAGAAGAUGGAAGACCUGGAUAAACUUGAUGAAUAGCCUCUGUUGGGGAUGCUGGAAUUUUCACGCGGUGAUCAUGAGCAGCAACGUUGAAUACUUAAAUGGGACACAGAGAGGUUUCGUUGUUGAUGUCAAUUACAUCUUUAAUUGGCAGUCACUCCUUCAAGUGGCUCUCUCCCCACGGACCUGCCCUGGACAUGCCUGCAUGUGUGUGCAUGCAUGUAUACGUCUGUGCAUGAUCGAGAAAAAAAAGAGGCGUAUAUGCGUCCAUAUUUAACAACAAAAAUGUUACAAGGAAGGACAAUUGCUACAUUAAGAAAACAAUAAUGUCCUUCAUUUUGGCAAAGUAUUGAACACAUGCAAACAUCAACCUUCUUCGUGCAUCCUUUCAUGCAAUCUUUUCUGUUCAGUCAAACCUUGAUUGUGCCUUUAGCUCCAUUCAUUGUUCAGGAUGUUAUUUAUGUCUCAUAAUUGUUGGGGGGCUUUUUGAAUGUGGCAGCGAUGAAAAGAACAAGUCUAUUUGAAUGAGCAAUGUCAGAGUUUUUAUUUUUAAUUUUUUUCCUGGAAGUGUAACCUUAAUGUGAACACGGGCUGGCUGCAUGCACAGCCCCACUGUUAUUCCUGGGGUGCAAAUGUCUGAGGGUUCCAAAUAAUACACACCAUAUCAUAACAUGGACUAUUGGUGGCCUUUGCAGCGAAAGAUGAGAAAGAAAGAGAAGGCUGCAACUAAAACAUUUUAGUGAGAAAGAGUGCAAAAGACACCAUGUGCUGUACACCUGAGUCAGGCGAAAAGGGCGGAGGGGUUAGGGCAAUGUGGGGGGUGGCGGGGUGUUAAGUGGGGGAUGAUGGGAGGGAAUCAGUUCCACUACACGCUCAUUACCACCUAUUCAUCUGGAAGACCUCUCUGAAAAGAUCCACUGCGGGCUAACUUAUGUAUUUGUUUGCAAGUGGGGGUAUAUUAAUCUGCAUGUAUGUGAGCAUGCUGCAACCCCCCCAUCGCAACCACACACAUAAUAAGAUUAAUGACUUCAUAAUGAACCAUAUUUACCUCCCUGUCCUUUUACUUUCCCCCGCGUGACUUCCACUCCACUGCCCGGCGUUCACUUUGAAGGCUGCAAUUAGCUCCUUUAUUAACAUGAAAAACACAAGCUUUUACAUCUUCAUGGGAUAAUGGAAGAUGACGAGCACUACAAUAUUCUACUACAAUGUCCCCCACGUGGCCAUUUGAGGCUUUUUAAUACCAGCACUGAACAUUCACAGCAAAGCACUCAAUGGUCAAGUGCAGCACACGUUACAUCUUUAUGAAAUAGGCUUUUUUUAAAUCCCAAAUUCCAAAGGUCAAGACAGAAGCAGAGUCACAGAUGAUGAAAGAAAGAUACAGACCACAUUAUUCUAAUACAGUUUGGAGGGCCUCACGGCAGUCCUGCAUACUUCAAGCCCAAGUUCCAAAAAAACAACUUGCAAUAUCUAGCCGCAUCUCUUCCCUCUUCUUCAUCUUUUCAUCUUUUAUUACAAGAUUGAUUUGAAUGCGUGUUUGUUCUACUUUCAGUUCAAUUUCUCUUUUAAAAUCUGCAUCUUGGGCAUGUGUUUAAGCAACUGCCAAAUUUUCUAUUAAAUUUGAUGACGGUGCUCGAGUCUUGGGAUGAGGGAGAUAAGCUUGAGGAUACAGAGAGAUUAUUUUACAUUAUAUCAUGCAUUCCUCCAUUUGGACCAUUUUGCCUGUGAAAUGCGAUCCUCUGAAAUCAGGACCUUUUGCACUUCGGCUACCCCUGGCCAAGCUGAUGGUCUUGGGUUGAGAUCAUCAAAUCACAUAAUGGUACUUUUUUCAGGGUAACACUUUUCACUGGUAUUCAGUGCUUUUUGGGAAGUUUUGAAGGCUUCGUUGCCUCAUUUACGAGUCUGUCGUCAUAUAUUAAGUAGAACAGGAUUGGGGAAGGCGGCACGGUGGCCGACUGGUUAGAACGUCAGCCUCACAGUUCUGAGGACCCGGGUUCAAUCCCAGGCCCCGCCUGUGUGGAGUUUGCAUGUUCUCCCCGUGCCUGCGUGGGUUUUCUCCGGGCACUCCGGUUUCCUCCCACAUCCCAAAAACAUGCAUUAAUUGGAGACUCUAAAUUGCCCGUAGGCAUGACUGUGAGUGCGAAUGGUUGUUUGUUUCUAUGUGCCUUGCGAUUGGCUGGCAACCAGUUCAGGGUGUACCCCGCCUCCUGCCCGAUGAUAGCUGGGAUAGGCUCCAGCACGCCCGCGACCCUAGUGAGGAAAAGCGGCUCAGAAAAUGGAUAGAGGAUUGGGGAAUUACCUCACGGGACAGACCCAUAUUUUAAGUACAAUUGCUGAUAUUGUCUCUUAAAUGCAGCCCUUUUUUUCUUGGAAGUUGUAGGCUCUUCUUGAUUUGUCUCAUCAAUUUUUGUGAGUGCAGUGGCACAGGCAGAUGCACCUUAUUUUCCUAAUAAAACUUUUUGACUCUGAUGAUCAAUAGAAUAUUUUUUGUUCAGUCGAUCUGUGUGACUCGGUGCCAAAUGGCCACGGACCGGUGGUUGGAGACCUUGCCUGAGAGGGAAUCAUUCCUUGUAUUGAUCGACAGAUUCAUCUAAAAUAAUAGUAUUGAUACCAUCGUUGAUACAUUAUCUGUAUUAAGCAAAACUUGUUUGAUGAGACUGAUACUUUUUUUGUGUGUCAACUUUCAAUACACAACUCUAGUUACAUCAUAGUGGUUGUGCUAAUAGCACUCCUCUUACUUUGCGUCUCCCUCGCCCCAUAAUAUGCUGUGAGUUGUUGCCGGUGUGCCGUUAUGGUGCGCAGUAGCUCAGCCAUGCGCUGCUGGCUGCUGGUGGUAGAAGAUGAGUUAUUUUAUCGCUGCACAUAAGAAUACUGAAAUUUGUUAAUGUUUUAAGGAAACAGAUAUGCUACCUUGAUUCAGAUUAUUAUUAUUAUAAUACUGAUUAUUUUUUGCAUAUUUAUCACACUUAAAUGUUUCAGAUCAUUAAAGCAAUUUUAGUACAAAUAAAAUGCAGUUUCCAAAUGAUUAUUUUAUGUAAAACCAAAUUUAUCGGCCCACUGUAAAAAAGUAUUUGCGCCCUCAACCUUACAACUGAUUGUGCCACCAUUGGCAGUAAAAUCUGAAAUCAAGCAUUCGUGAUACUUGCUGGUGAGUCUUAUGCAUCGUUGUGGAGGAAUUUUGGCCCACUGUUUUUUUUGCACAAUUGAAUGAAUGAAUGAUUGAACUUAUGUCAUGGUCUGUCCCUACAGUUCCGUUGUUGGAGCUUGGGUGGCGCUUUGCGCUCCUCUCGCCCUCUCUCUCUCCCCCUCUCUCUUUUCCCAGUAAUCAGCACCACCUCGGCCACGCACCUGUUGCCAAUCAGCACUCUACUCUGCCUGCAUUUAAGCCUGCCUGGUCCAAAACUCCACUGCCAGAGUAUUAACCUUCUCCCGUGUGCUCCUUCCGUGUUCCCCGCCGUAUUGACCUCUUCCACCACGCCGCAAAGCCAUCCACCUGCUCACGCCUCCGCCUGCCGCAUGUUCCCUGUCUCGACAACCCGCCAGUACGCCUCAAGGAUCCAUCUCCAUAUCCUCUUCAAUAAACCUUUCACCACAGACCUCUCAGCCUCCGCUUGCUUCUGGGUCCAGUGAGAAUCGAAUCGUGACAACUUAGUCAAAUUGGAGGGUUUUCAAGUAUGCAUCCAUCCAUCCAUCCAUUUUCUACCGCUAUCCAAGGUCGGGUCGCAGGGACGCCCAGACUUCCCUCUCCCCAGCCACUUCCUCUAGCUCUUCCAGGGGGACCCAAGCCGUUCCCAGGCCAGCUGAAGGACAUAGUCUCUCCAGCAUGUCCUGGGUCAUCGCCGGAGUCUCCUCCACCUCAGCAGGGAGGUGUCCGGGAGGCAUCCGAAUCAGAUGCCCCAGCCACCUCAUCUGGCUCCUCUCGAUUUGGAGGAGCAGCGGCUCUACUCUGAGAUCCUCCCGGAUGACCAAGCUUCUCACUCUAUCUCUAAGGGAGAGCCCGGACACCCUGCAGAGGAAACUCAUUUCGGCCGCUUGUAUCCGGGAUCUUGUUCUUUCGGUCACGACCCACAGCUCGUCACCAUAGGCAAGGGUAGGAACGUACAUCGAGAGCUUUGCCUUUCGGCUUAGCUCCUUCUUUAAAGAUCGAUACAAAGUCCGCAAAGUCAAGUAUGCAGCGCCCGUUUAAGAUCCUACCACAGCAUCUCAAUUGGAUUUAAAUCGGCUGCCUUGGCUUCUCCAAAAUCUUCAUUUAGUUUUUGUUUUUUUUGAGCCAUUCAGAGGUGGACUUGGUAUGUUUCUUGUCAUUAUCCUGCUGCAUACCCCAAUAGCGCCUGAGCUUGGGGUCAUGAACUGAUGACGUUCGCCUGCAGACAGCAAAAUUAAUUGUUCCAUUAAUUUAACAGCAAUUUGCCCAAGUGCUGAAGUACAAAAGCAGCCCCAGAACAUGACACGCCACCAUCAUGUUUGGAUGCUGGCAUGAUGUCCUUUUUGUCAAAAGUGUCAUUUUUACACCAGCUAUAAUCGACUGCAAACCCUCCAAAAACAAAUUUGAUCUCAUCAAUCUACAGAAUAUAUCUAAAAAAACAUUGGGCUUAUCAUCAUGUACUAUGCCAAAUUUAAGACUAGCCUUUGCAUUUUUACAUUUUAUUUUGUCAGCAGCACUUUUUGCCUUGGAACUCUCCCACAGAUGCCAUUUUCCCCCAGUGUCUUUCUAUGGUUGAGUCAUCAACACUGACCUUAACUGUGGCCUCCAAUUGUUUGUAUGUCAUUCUGGGUUCUUUUGUGACUUCUUAGAAACGUCAUUGAACUCUUUGAGUAAUUUUGGUUGGCUGAUCAAUCCUCAAAAGGUUCGCCACUGUUUCUCAUUUGUUCUUGUAUUUCUUUCUUUCAUCAUCAUCAACCACCUGUGCUGGAAUGCAAACAUCAUCUGCACAAAAAAACCUGAGCAGUCUGACAGAGAGGUUUCUCACACAGUUGCUAUAACCCCUAAAUGAACACCUGUUGUUUCGAAAAUUUGUCACAAAGUACAUCUUCAUCAUUAUCUUCUUUGAUGUAACAAGACGAGGUCUUCUCCAGUUGUGAAUAAACAAUUAAACAUCUGUA